rnacentral:rRNA from 1 species
UGGGGAAUAUUGCACAAUGGGGGAAACCCUGAUGCAGCGACGCCGCGUGAACGAAGAAGGUAUUCGUAUCGUAAAGUUCUGUCCUAUGGGAAGAUAAUGACAGUACCAUAGAAGAAAGCUCCGGCUAAAUACGUGCCAGCAGCCGCGGUAAUACGUAUGGAGCGAGCGUUGUCCGGAAUUAUUGGGCGUAAAGGGUACGCAGGCGGUUUAAUAAGUCGAAUGUUAAAGAUCGGGGCUCAACCCCGUAAAGCAUUGGAAACUGAUAAACUUGAGUAGUGGAGAGGAAAGUGGAAUUCCUAGUGUAGUGACGAAAUACGUAGAUAUUAGGAGGAAUACCAGUAGCGAAGGCGACUUUCUGGACACAAACUGACGCUGAGGUACGAAAGCGUGGGGAGCAAACAGG